rnacentral:rRNA from 1 species
GAAUCUUGGGCAAUGGGGGCAACCCUGACCCAGCCAUGCCGCGUGAUCGAUGAAGGCCUUAGGGUUGUAAAGAUCUUUCAGCUGGGAAGAUAAUGACUGUACCAGCAGAAGAAGCCCCGGCUAACUCCGUGCCAGCAGCCGCGGUAAUACGGAGGGGGCUAGCGUUGUUCGGAAUUACUGGGCGUAAAGCGCACGUAGGCGGAUCAGCAAGUUAGGGGUGAAAUCCCGGGGCUCAACCCCGGAACUGCCUUUAAAACUGUUGGUCUGGAGUCCGAGAGAGGUGAGUGGAAUUCCGAGUGUAGAGGUGAAAUUCGUAGAUAUUCGGAGGAACACCAGUGGCGAAGGCGGCUCACUGGCUCGGUACUGACGCUGAGGUGCGAAAGCGUGGGGAGCAAA